UUCGGCCACGCGACGCUUUCUUCCGUCGCCCUCUGCAUGCCGUCGCCGACGCACUUCAGCCUCAUAAAGCACAACGAACCUCGUUCGUCUCCUGCUGCGCGGC
rfam:Pseudomonas stutzeri A1501, complete genome.